rnacentral:rRNA from 1 species
CACAAGCGGAGGAGCAUGUGGUUUUAAUUCGAUGAUACGCGAGGAACCUUACCUGGGCUCGAACGUAAGAUGACUGUAGGUGAAAGCUUACAUCUCUUCGAGCAUUCACGAGGUGCUGCUAUGGUUGUCGUCAGCUCGUGUCGUGAGAUGUUGGGUUAAGUCCCGCAACGAGCGCAACCCUUGCCUUUAGUUGCCAGCAGUUCGGCUGGGCACUCUAAAGGGACUGCCGGUGUUAAACCGGAGGAAGGUGGGGAUGACGUCAAGUCCUCAUGGCCUUUAUGACCAGGGCUACACACGUACUACAAUGGCCGAUACAAAGGGCAGCGACACUGCGAGGUGAAGCCAAUCCCGUAAAAUCGGUCUCAGUCCGGAUUGGAGUCUGCAACUUGACUCCAUGAAGUUGGAAUCGCUAGUAAUCGUGGAUCAGCAUGCCACGGUGAAUACGUUCCCGGGCCUU